AACGUAGGAGACAAACGUUAUCCGGCGUUACUGGGCGUAAAGGGCGUGUAGGCGGUUAGUUAAGUCUGGCGUGAAAGCUCUCGGCUAAACCGGGAGAGGUCGUUGGAUACUGGCUGACUAGAGGACGGUAGAGGCGUGUGGAAUUCCGGGUGUAGUGGUGAAAUGCGUAGAGAUCCGGAGGAACACCAGUGGCGAAGGCGACACGCUGGGCCGUACCUGACGCUAAAGCGCGACAGCAUGGGGAGCAAACGGG
rnacentral:rRNA from 1 species